rnacentral:rRNA from 1 species
GAUGAAUGCUGGCGGCGUGCCUAAUACAUGCAAGUCGAGCGAACAGACGAGGAGCUUGCUCCUCUGACGUUAGCGGCGGACGGGUGAGUAACACGUGGAUAACCUACCUAUAAGACUGGGAUAACUUCGGGAAACCGGAGCUAAUACCGGAUAACAUGUUGAACCGCAUGGUUCAACAGUGAAAGACGGUCUUGCUGUCACUUAUAGAUGGAUCCGCGCCGCAUUAGCUAGUUGGUAAGGUAACGGCUUACCAAGGCAACGAUGCGUAGCCGACCUGAGAGGGUGAUCGGCCACACUGGAACUGAGACACGGUCCAGACUCCUACGGGAGGCAGCAGUAGGGAAUCUUCCGCAAUGGGCGAAAGCCUGACGGAGCAACGCCGCGUGAGUGAUGAAGGUCUUCGGAUCGUAAAACUCUGUUAUUAGGGAAGAACAAAUGUGUAAGUAACUAUGCACGUCUUGACGGUACCUAAUCAGAAAGCCACGGCUAACUACGUG